rnacentral:rRNA from 1 species
GUUAUAGGGUCAAGCGAACAAGUGCAUGUGGUGGAUGCCUUGGCGAUCACAGGCGAUGAAGGACGCGGUAGCCUGCGAAAAGCUACGGGGAGCUGGCAAACAAGCUUUGAUCC